rnacentral:rRNA from 1 species
UACGGGGGGAGCAAGCGUUGUUCGGAUUUACUGGGCGUAAAGGGCGCGUAGGCGGCCAGCACAAGUCAGUUGUGAAAUCUCCGAGCUUAACUCGGAACGGUCAAGUGAUACUGCUUUGCUAGAGUGCAGAAGGGGCAACCGGAAUUCUUGGUGUAGCGGUGAAAUGCGUAGAUAUCAAGAGGAACACCGGAGGUGAAGACGGGUUGCUGGGCUGACACUGACGCUGAGGCGCGAAAGCUAGGGUAGCAAACGGG